rnacentral:lncRNA from 1 species
GCUUUUCAAGGUCAUAACUUAAAAGUCUGUUUUUGUCCUGACAUAUUUUAUACUUUAUGAUAAAUCUGUUUGAAAACGUCUUAUGCACGUACAAUCUGAACUGACUUGGUGUCUUCUGUGAGUAAAAUAAUAAAAAAAAUUCUGCGACAGACCUCAGAGACUAAGUAUAACACAGUAGUCUCAGGACCAACUUAGUCAAGUUGUUAAACUCCCUUAGUAGAAGGACUUUGUUAAUGUUCAUGUCAAGACCAAUUACGGAAUCACAUUUAGCCUGG